UACGGAGGGUGCAAGCGUUAUCCGGAUUCACUGGGUUUAACGGGUGCGUAGGUGGGCUGGUAAGUCAGUGGUGAAAUCUCCAGGCUUAACUUGGAAACUGCCAUUGAUACUAUCAGUCUUGAAUACCGUGGAGGUCAGCGGAAUAUGUCAUGUAGCGGUGAAAUGCUUAGAGAUGACAUAGAACACCUAUUGCGAAGGCAGCAGGCUACGGGAUGAUUGACGCUGAUGCACGAAAGCGUGGGGAUCAAACAGG
rnacentral:rRNA from 1 species